GCCCUGAUAGCUCAGUCGGUGGAGCGUUGGACUUGUAAUCCAAAGGACAAGAGUUCGAGCCCCUUGUAGGGAG